GAUGAACGCUAGCGGCAGGCUUAAUACAUGCAAGUUGAGGGGCAGCAUGAUAUACGCGAGUAUAUUGAUGGCGACCGGCGGACGGGUGAGUAAUAGGUAGGAGACCUACCUCAUACAGGGGGAUAGCAUAGAGAAAUCUGUGGUAAUACCCCAUGAGGUUAUAUGAAUAGAGGCAUAUAAUCAAAGCAUAAGCGAUUAUGCGGUAUGAGAGGGGCCUACUGACCAUUAGCUAGUUGGUGAGGUAAGGGCUCACCAAGGCGAAGAUGGUUAGGGGUUUUGAGAGAGAGACCCCCCACAUUGGAACUGAGAGACGGUCCAGACUCCUACGGGAGGCAGCAGUAGGGAAUAUUGGGCAAUGGGCGAAAGCCUGACCCAGCCAUGCCGCGUGAAGGAAGACGGCCUUAUGGGUUGUAAACUUCUUUACUACGCGAAUAGAGGUUAGUACGAGAUACUAAUAGGAAGUAGUGUAGUAAAAGCACCGGCUAACUCCGUG
rnacentral:rRNA from 1 species